AGAGCUCAAAUUUGAAAUCUGGCGGUUUCUGACCGUCCGAGUUGUAGUCUGGAGAAGCGUCUUCCGUGUUGGACCGUGUAUAAGUCUCUUGGAACAGGGCGUCAUAGAGGGUGAGAAUCCCGUCUUUGACACGGACUACCAAUGCUUUGUGAGGCGCUCUCAAAGAGUCGAGUUGUUUGGGAAUGCAGCUCAAAAUGGGUGGUAAAUUCCAUCUAAAGCUAAAUAUAGGCGAGAGACCGAUAGCGAA
rnacentral:rRNA from 1 species